rnacentral:misc_RNA from 1 species
CAAAUUCAUGUUUCUUUUUGACGUGUGUUGGGUCCUCCAUUGCCAAAUCUGUUAAUGCUUUGCCUUUUUAUGGACUCAUCUCCACUUUUCUGUGUGCAAUGUUGUUCCAUUUUAAGCCUCCCACAGGCUGUUGCCCUAUAUUCCUUUCAUACUUGCCUGUGCAUUUUGCUUCCUUUGCAUGACCACCAGAUGUUUUUGCCCACAAGUAUGCAGAAUCAUUG